rnacentral:rRNA from 1 species
AGGACGAACGCUGGCGGCGUGCCUAAUACAUGCAAGUCGAACGGUCUUUCUAUGGAAGCUUGCUUCCACUGAAAAGAUAGUGGCGAACGGGUGAGUAACACGUGGGUAACCUGCCCAUAAGAGGGGGGAUAACAUCCGGAAACGGGUGCUAAUACCGCAUAGUUUUCUUGAUCGCAUGAUCGGGAAAGGAAAGACGGCCUUUGUGCUGUCGCUUAUGGAUGGACCCGCGGCGUAUUAGUUAGUUGGUGAGGUAACGGCUCACCAAGACGAUGAUACGUAGCCGACCUGAGAGGGUGAUCGGCCACAUUGGGACUGAGACACGGCCCAAACUCCUACGGGAGGCAGCAGUAGGGAAUCUUCCGCAAUGGACGAAAGUCUGACGGAGCAACGCCGCGUGAGUGAAAGAAGGUUUUCGGAUCGUAAAACUCUGUUGUCAGAGAAGAACAAGUUGGAGAGUAACUGCUCCAGCCUUGACGGUAUCUGACCAGAAAGCCACGGCUAACUACGUGCCAGCCGCGGC